rnacentral:rRNA from 1 species
GACGAACGCUGGCGGCGUGCCUAAUACAUGCAAGUCGAGCGGACGAAUCGAAAGCUUGCUUUUGAUUCGUUAGCGGCGGACGGGUGAGUAACACGUGGGCAACCUGCCCUGUAGACGGGGAUAACACCGAGAAAUCGGUGCUAAUACCGGAUAACACGAAAUGUCGCAUGACGUUUCGUUGAAAGACGGCGCAAGCUGUCGCUACAGGAUGUGCCCGCGGCGUAUUAGCUAGUUGGUGAGGUAACGGCUCACCAAGGCGACGAUGCGUAGCCGACCUGAGAGGGUGAUCGGCCACACUGGGACUGAGACACGGCCCAGACUCCUACGGGAGGCAGCAGUAAGGAAUCUUCCGCAAUGGACGAAAGUCUGACGGAGCAACGCCGCGUGAGCGAAGAAGGCCUUCGGGUCGUAAAGCUCUGUUGUUAGGGAAGAACAAGUAACGCAGUAACUGGCGUUACCGUGACGGUACCUAACGAGAAAGCCACGGCUAACUACGUG